rnacentral:misc_RNA from 1 species
GAAAAAUACUUGGAGCAUGAAGGGCCAAAAAUCUAAAGAUUUUUUUUUUUAAAAGAAAAAAAUGAAAAUUCAAAGCAAUUUACUAUUUUUUAUCCAAUAGAAAAUUAUAAGAAUUUUUUUUUUCCAUACUUAAGAUUUAUUCUUCAUUCUUGUUUAUGUGAUGUUGCAUGUAUUUUGUUUGUUUUAUUGAGUGACUUCUUUCACAUAAAGGAUCAAGUGGUGUUUAAAAUAUUUUUGGGAUCAUAAAGAACAAGGAUAAAUUUCACAUGUUAUCUCUGAAUUUAAAGUGUUAUGAUAACAACAUUACUAAACUUU